rnacentral:rRNA from 1 species
AUUGAACGCUGGCGGCAUGCUUUACACAUGCAAGUCGAACGGCAGCACGGGAGCAAUCCUGGUGGCGAGUGGCGAACGGGUGAGUAAUAUAUCGGAACGUGCCCAGUCGUGGGGGAUAACGUAGCGAAAGCUACGCUAAUACCGCAUACGAUCUAUGGAUGAAAGCGGGGGAUCGCAAGACCUCGCGCGAUUGGAGCGGCCGAUAUCAGAUUAGGUAGUUGGUGAGGUAAAGGCUCACCAAGCCGACGAUCUGUAGCUGGUCUGAGAGGACGACCAGCCACACUGGGACUGAGACACGGCCCAGACUCCUACGGGAGGCAGCAGUGGGGAAUUUUGGACAAUGGGCGCAAGCCUGAUCCAGCAAUGCGCGUGCAGGAUGAAGGCCUUCGUGUUGUAAACUGCUUUUGUAAAUAAGCCGGAACGAAACGGCGAGCUCUAAUACAGUUUGCUAAUGACGGUACCGUGAG